GGGUUGUGAGGUUAAGCGACUAAGCGUACACGGUGGAUGCCCUGGCAGUCAGAGGCGAUGAAGGGCGUGCUAAUCUGCGAUAAGCGCCGGUAAG
rnacentral:rRNA from 4 species